UACGUAGGGUGCGAGCGUUAAUCGGAAUUACUGGGCGUAAAGCGUGCGCAGGCGGUGAUGUAAGACCGAUGUGAAAUCCCCGGGCUUAACCUGGGAACUGCAUUGGUGACUGCAUUGCUGGAGUAUGGCAGAGGGGGGUAGAAUUCCACGUGUAGCAGUGAAAUGCGUAGAGAUGUGGAGGAACACCGAUGGCGAAGGCAGCCCCCUGGGUCAAGACUGACGCUCAUGCACGAAAGCGUGGGGAGCAAACAGG
rnacentral:rRNA from 1 species